rnacentral:rRNA from 1 species
CUCGCGAGGGAUGNCANUUAGUACGGCGAGUGAGCGGCAAAAGCUCAAAUUUGAAAUCUGGCACCUUCGGUGUCCGAGUUGUAAUUUGAAGAAGGUAACUUUGGAGUUGGCUCUUGUCUAUGUUCCUUGGAACAGGACGUCACAGAGGGUGAGAAUCCCGUGCGAUGAGAUGCCCAAUUCUAUGUAAAGUGCUUUCGAAGAGUCGAGUUGUUUGGGAAUGCAGCUCUAAGUGGGUGGUAAAUUCCAUCUAAAGCUAAAUAUUGGCGAGAGACAGAUAGCGAACAAGUACAGUGAUGGAAAGAUGAAAAGAACUUUGAAAAGAGAGUGAAAAAGUACGUGAAAUUGUUGAAAGGGAAGGGCUUGAGAUCAGACUUGGUAUUUUGCGAUCCUUUCCUUCUUGGUUGGGUUCCUCGCAGCUUACUGGGCCAGCAUCGGUUUGGAUGGUAGGAUAAUGACUAAGGAAUGUGGCUCUACUUCGGUGGAGUGUUAUAGCCUUGGUUGAUACUGCCUGUCUAGACCGAGGACUGCGUCUUUUGACUAGGAUGUUGGCAUAAUGAUCUUAAGCCACACGU